rnacentral:rRNA from 1 species
AGACUUUGAUCAUGGCUCAGGACGAACGCNGGCGGCGCGCCUAACACAUGCAAGUCGAGCGGGAAGCUUUUUAAGGAUUCUUCGGAUGAAUUAAAAANUGGAGAGCGGCGGACGGGUGAGUAACGCGUGAGAAACCUGCCCUAUACAGGGGGAUAGCCAUUGGAAACGAUGAUUAAUACCCCAUAUGACCACAGUAUCGCAUGAUACAGCGGUGAAAACUCCGGUGGUAUAGGAUGGUCUCGCGUCUGAUUAGCUAGUUGGUGGGGUAACGGCCUACCAAGGCGACGAUCAGUAGCCGGCCUGAGAGGGUGACCGGCCACACUGGAACUGAGACACGGUCCAGACUCCUACGGGAGGCAGCAGUGGGGAAUAUUGCACAAUGGGCGAAAGCCUGAUGCAGCGACGCCGCGUGAACGAUGAAGGCUUUCGAGUCGUAAAGUUCUGUUCUUGGGGAAGAUAACGACGGUACCCAAGGAGAAAGCACCGGCUAAAUACGUGCCAGCAGCCGCGG